UACUGGAAAAGCACACUGAUCAGAUCAGCAGAUCAGAUCACGGAUUAAGGUCAGUUCUCUACUGAACAUGACAGAAGGUGAGGAGAAUAAAGUCAGAGGAUAAAGCUAUUGCAACUAAUGAAUUACAAAAUUAGCAUGGAGCAGUCACAGUGACAACGAUGGAGGAAGGUAACUUCUGUGGGUCAAGUUACUCCAAGUGGAGAUGACUACAUUGUGACAUAAGCACAGGAGAAAGUUUCCUUCCCAUUGGAUCAUAUCCAUUUCUAAACAAAUACACCUAAAGCCUCUGACAAGGUGUUUAUGGGACAAAUCCUGUUUCUUAAUUGGCACAACUUAGGCCACUUGGAAUUGCAAGUUUGGACGAAUAUGGCCAUGACUUAAACAUAGCUGUAGGGAGGGCAGCAGUCAUCAAGAAUCACACAUUGGAACAUUUAAGCAGAAGAGUUUCUGCAUUUCCUGACAUCAUCCAUCUAACUUAUUUCCUUAUGCAGGUUUAUAUUUGGGAGGAAAUCUGUAAGAGUAUUCUAAUCAUAUGGAAUCUUUAUAAUCUUUCUUCAUUUGGUCUUAACUAUAACCAUCCCUAUAAUCCGCCUCUCUCUCUACUAUUUACUUAAGUUCUCCCAAUGAGCUACUAUUGUGGCUGAGAUUGGUAAUAUACCUCAGAACUUUACUUCUGAGUAAUCUGAUUCUAAGCUAUCACAUAGACCUGACACCAGGAUAGAUGAAUACAUCUGUUAACCAUGCAGUGGCAUGCACAAGCUCUUUUUUUUCC
rnacentral:sRNA from 1 species